rnacentral:rRNA from 1 species
ACGCUGGCGGCAGGCUUAACACAUGCAAGUCGAACGAGAAGCUAGACUUCGGUCUAGUGGAAAGUGGCAGACGGGUGAGUAACGCGUGGGAAUCUACCUUUGAGUGGGGAAUAACAACUAGAAAUGGUUGCUAAUACCGCAUACACCUUUCGGGGGAAAGGCUUCGGCCGCUCUUAGAUGAGCCCGCGUACGAUUAGUUUGUUGGUGAGGUAAUGGCUCACCAAGACUACGAUCGUUAGCUGGUUUGAGAGGAUGAUCAGCCACACUGGGACUGAGACACGGCCCAGACUCCUACGGGAGGCAGCAGUGGGGAAUAUUGGACAAUGGGCGAAAGCCUGAUCCAGCCAUGCCGCGUGAGUGAAGAAGGCCUUAGGGUUGUAAAACUCUUUCGGCAGGGAAGAUAAUGACGGUACCUGCAGAAGAAGCUCCGGCUAACUCCGUGCCAGCAGCCGCGGUAAUACGGAGGGGGCAAGCGUUGCUCGGAAUUACUGGGCGUAAAGCGAGCGUAGGCGGUUUAUCAAGUUGGUGGUGAAAGCCCGGGGCUCAACUCCGGAACUGCCAUCAAAACUGAUUUACUAGAGAUUGGUAGAGGAAAAUGGAAUUCCUAGUGUAGAGGUGAAAUUCGUAGAUAUUGGGAAGAACACCAGUGGCGAAGGCGAUUUUCUGGGCCAAUUCUGACGCUGAGGUUCGAAAGCGUGGGUAGCAAACAGGAUUAGAUACCCUGGUAGUCCACGCCGUAAACGAUGAGUGCUAGACGUUGGGAAAAUAAUUUUCAGUGUCGUAGUUAACGCAUUAAGCACUCCGCCU